rnacentral:rRNA from 1 species
UGGGGAAUAUUGCACAAUGGGCGCAAGCCUGAUGCAGCCAUGCCGCGUGUGUGAAGAAGGCCUUCGGGUUGUAAAGCACUUUCAGCGAGGAGGAAGGGUAGUGUGUUAAUAGCACAUUGCAUUGACGUUACUCGCAGAAGAAGCACCGGCUAACUCCGUGCCAGCAGCCGCGGUAAUACGGAGGGUGCAAGCGUUAAUCGGAAUUACUGGGCGUAAAUCGCACGCAGGCGGUUUGUUAAGUCAGAUGUGAAAUCCCCGCGCUUAACGUGGGAACUGCAUUUGAAACUGGCAAGCUAGAGUCUUGUAGAGGGGGGUAGAAUUCCAGGUGUAGCGGUGAAAUGCGUAGAGAUCUGGAGGAAUACCGGUGGCGAAGGCGGCCCCCUGGACAAAGACUGACGCUCAGGUGCGAAAGCGUGGGGAGCAAACA